rnacentral:rRNA from 5 species
AAAUUGAAGAGUUUGAUCAUGGCUCAGAUUGAACGCUGGCGGCAGGCCUAACACAUGCAAGUCGAACGGUAACAGGAAGCAGCUUGCUGCUUUGCUGACGAGUGGCGGACGGGUGAGUAAUGUCUGGGAAACUGCCUGAUGGAGGGGGAUAACUACUGGAAACGGUGGCUAAUACCGCAUAACGUCGCAAGACCAAAGAGGGGGACCUUCGGGCCUCUUGCCAUCAGAUGUGCCCAGAUGGGAUUAGCUAGUUGGUGAGGUAACGGCUCACCAAGGCGACGAUCCCUAGCUGGUCUGAGAGGAUGACCAGCCACACUGGAACUGAGACACGGUCCAGACUCCUACGGGAGGCAGCAGUGGGGAAUAUUGCACAAUGGGCGCAAGCCUGAUGCAGCCAUGCCGCGUGUAUGAAGAAGGCCUUCGGGUUGUAAAGUACUUUCAGCGGGGAGGAAGGUGUUGUGGUUAAUAACCACAGCAAUUGACGUUACCCGCAGAAGAAGCACCGGCUAACUCCGUGCCAGCAGCCGCGGUAAUACGGAGGGUGCAAGCGUUAAUCGGAAUUACUGGGCGUAAAGCGCACGCAGGCGGUCUGUCAAGUCGGAUGUGAAAUCCCCGGGCUCAACCUGGGAACUGCAUUCGAAACUGGCAGGCUUGAGUCUUGUAGAGGGGGGUAGAAUUCCAGGUGUAGCGGUGAAAUGCGUAGAGAUCUGGAGGAAUACCGGUGGCGAAGGCGGCCCCCUGGACAAAGACUGACGCUCAGGUGCGAAAGCGUGGGGAGCAAACAGGAUUAGAUACCCUGGUAGUCCACGCCGUAAACGAUGUCUACUUGGAGGUUGUGCCCUUGAGGCGUGGCUUCCGGAGCUAACGCGUUAAGUAGACCGCCUGGGGAGUACGGCCGCAAGGUUAAAACUCAAAUGAAUUGACGGGGGCCCGCACAAGCGGUGGAGCAUGUGGUUUAAUUCGAUGCAACGCGAAGAACCUUACCUGGUCUUGACAUCCACAGAACUUUCCAGAGAUGGAUUGGUGCCUUCGGGAACUGUGAGACAGGUGCUGCAUGGCUGUCGUCAGCUCGUGUUGUGAAAUGUUGGGUUAAGUCCCGCAACGAGCGCAACCCUUAUCCUUUGUUGCCAGCGGUUAGGCCGGGAACUCAAAGGAGACUGCCAGUGAUAAACUGGAGGAAGGUGGGGAUGACGUCAAGUCAUCAUGGCCCUUACGACCAGGGCUACACACGUGCUACAAUGGCGCAUACAAAGAGAAGCGACCUCGCGAGAGCAAGCGGACCUCAUAAAGUGCGUCGUAGUCCGGAUUGGAGUCUGCAACUCGACUCCAUGAAGUCGGAAUCGCUAGUAAUCGUGGAUCAGAAUGCCACGGUGAAUACGUUCCCGGGCCUUGUACACACCGCCCGUCACACCAUGGGAGUGGGUUGCAAAAGAAGUAGGUAGCUUAACCUUCGGGAGGGCGCUUACCACUUUGUGAUUCAUGACUGGGGUGAAGUCGUAACAAGGUAACCGUAGGGGAACCUGCGGUUGGAUCACCUCCUUACCUUAAAGAAGC